rnacentral:misc_RNA from 1 species
UCUCCGUAGGUGAACCUGCGGAGGGAUCAUUACUGAGUGAGGGCUCACGCCCGACCUCCAACCCUUUGUGAACCAAACUUGUUGCUUCGGGGGCGACCCUGCCGUCCGCGGCUGAGCGCCCCCGGGGUCAAUCAAACACUGCAUCUUUGCGUCGGAGUUUGAAACAAAUCGAACAAAACUUUCAACAACGGAUCUCUUGGUUCUGGCAUCGAUGAAGAACGCAGC